AAACUCUGGUUUCUCUUCAAAUUGUAUAAAUCUUUCACCUUUUACUGAAGAUUUUCAUGGAGAGGGACAACUCUGAGACUUUAACAUUCUCAAGUAUACUAAGAUUUAGGAUAA
rnacentral:snRNA from 1 species